UGUGUGAGAACCGAAAGCGCAAGUCAGGCUCACUGCACCUGCAUGUGGGGAAGCCAGAAAAACCUGUUCCAAACUUCUGAGACACGACGGUACACGAUGAAUCCUGUUUCUAUCCCAACUAACGUCUCUGCCCUUAGUUGGAUUAUCUGGUGCACUUAUAUUUAAUACCUGUCCUAACACUGAAGGAUCAUAAAAAAUUUGCUUUCACCAAGAAGUUCAGAAACUUUAACAUGGCUGAUGUGAUAAAGUGUUGGGUCUUUCUCUGAAGCAGCUCAAGAAGGAAGGAGAAUUUGAGGAAGGCUGAACUCAGAGAAGAGAGGUGAUAAAAUAGAGAGAAAGGUCUCUGGAGAGAUCAGCUACACCAUAGCCAGCUGGGACCUGUGGAGGACGAAGACCAUUAUGAUAUUCCCUGCAGCAGGAGGCAGCAAAUGAACUGUCAGGCCAGUGAGGUCUGACACCAAAUUAUAAGUUGUCAAACAUAUACACAGUGUCUUUCCAUCAUACCUACAUUUGUUAACGUUAUUUUUAUUUACCUUCUGUUUUGUGUCCAGCACUGAUAUUGUGCUAAAUCUUUCAGGCAAAGUUUGGUGCCUUCAUGACCUGACUAUGUGUUUGCAGUAAGUAUUUGGAGAAAUGAGGGAGAUGAGAGAAGAAGGGCUGUGUAUGUUCACAUUUUGGGGCACAGCAGUCCCCAGAUCAGCUGGGGAAGCAAGGUGAGCUAGUGACAAGGUGGCCAGAAAGUAUAGAUAAGCAGCUAGAAACAGGAGUGGAGAGAGACAGGGUGAACCGGGCAGUGGGAGAGAGAGCUGGAAGUCUUAAGAUUAAGCCAAGAAGUGUGGCAAUAAGAUGUUGUCACUCUGAGAUGGGAGGGAGAGUUAGUCUUCAUAUUAUGCCAUAUUAGAUACUUAUAAUUGCUUGAGAGUCAUACCUAUGGAUGUAAUCUCUGCUAUGCCCCAACUAGCCAUGAGAAUUGUGGGCAAGCUAUUUCAUGUCCCAGAGCUUCCUCAAUUUCUUACUCCGUAAGUUUCUCCUUUGUUCUUAUUUGCUUCAUGGCACUGGUUGACCCCAUCUGUUCCUGCUCACACACAGCCAAUGGAUCCACAACACACAACUGUACGGGCCCAGAGGUGGUGGGCUUCACUCUCAAUCACUAAUUUCCAAAUAGAGCUGGAAAAAGAAGUUGAUGAAGGGAGCUAGGUGAACUCAUGGUAGUUACUAAGAAUCCCCUUUCCUUGAAUGCUCAGACUGAUCCUGUUUAACAGACCUCUCGUGGCCCCAGUAUCUUGGCACCGUUUGUCAUGCAAAAGUUUAUCUUGGGCAGAUGGGAUGUCUCCAAAUCUUCCAUUUGCCUGGCAAGCCUAAGACAGUGUUCUUGACGUGCUUUUGCUGCCUGCCCUGCUCAGCUUGGCAUUGCCUGGUGGUGGUCACUGUGUCUGUGCAGUCUCUCCAUUUCCUAAUAUCAGGCUCAACGCAGGGAUGUGGGCUGAAUCACAAUUGAGGGGCACACUGAGAGCUGGGGGAGCACAGAAAGGUUGAGAAUCAAUGAGCAAAUGACCAAGUAUUUGAGGAGUUUAAAUAUAUCUGAAAUCUUGGAGCAAUACAGCCAGUCCCUGGAAACAGGGUUAAAUUUCAAACUUAAGCAAUAUAACACAUGUCUAUGAAGUUUCUGUUUUUCAAUGCUUAAAACUCCCGUUGACACUAUGGGGCUGAGAAAAGGCCCAUUUUUACUUAAAGCAAUAAGUGUGUCAUUCACCAAGGCAACGCUACCUUUCCCAUGAUAAGUGGAACUAAAGCUCUUUUUGGGCUGCUACCAAAAAUAUGCUGAAGAACAUCUAUCACAUAAACGAGAUUCCUUAAUUGUUUAGCAUAAAGAUUUUCCAGCAUUCUAAAUAAAUUGAUUCCUCCUAGUUUAAACAAGAAAAUAUGUCUUUUUUUCUUUUAAAGAUAUAAACAGUGACAGCUAUAGAAGGAUCAAAUACAAAAAGAAAUUUCUUCCUUUAAGUAAUUUCCAGAGGUUGUGAUUUUCUUAAAGACCACACACACGCUUACUCACACCCCCCCACACACAGGACUAAUACAAAUUACAGCUAACUGGGAAAAUCUCAACAAUUUUUGCUAAUUUAUUUUGUUGGCUUUUCCCCCCUAAAAAUGGCAGCAAAAAUGAAUAAAAUUGUGAAGCUCUGCACAGUAAUACAAUGUUACCAUGGAGAAACAUGUAGAGUUGCUAAUCCCAUGCAUUUAGUUGUUUAAUUGAUUGUUUUUAUAUUUUUUAAUGCAAGAAGAGUGACAUCAACUUGAAGACCCCAUAAGAUACUAACUUCAUACAGGAACAUUUUUUGCUUCUUUGAUUUUUAGGGUUAACCUUACUUUUUCAGAGCCACGCAUUUAAUAAUAAUGCAUUAAUAGUAAUGCAUUUAACAGUAAUGAGCACAAAUGUUAAGUGUAUGGUUUCAGUGGUAAACCUAAGAUACGACCCAGUUUCUAUCUAGACAUCUUCCAUUAGCCUUUGCUCUGACUGGUUUAAGAGAGAUCCUACUUUCAACUUAAACAGAAUAAGGACAUCAACUUGCAUUCCCUGUGCUCUUAAUUAGUGUUUCCUACAAAACAAUAAGGUAAAGCAAAUAAACAGAAAAAACGCACAAGGGGUGUGAAAUUCAAGUUGAUGGUCAAUAAGCACAUGAGGGCAUGUUCAACCUCCCUUAUAAAAGAGAGAAAGGAAGAUUAAAGAAACAAUGAUGCCAUUUCUCACCUGCUCAGCAGAUCAGCCAAAAAUUAGAAGUCUGACCACCUGAGACUGGGUAAGGACAUGGUGUUAUGGGAAUCCCACUAGCUGCUUGUGAGGUUACACAUCUAUAUGUAUAUUUUGAAGGAAAAUUUGGCAUCAUCUAGAAAAGCUGUACAUUUUUUUAUUGUGAAAUAUUUUUAGUAUAUAAAAAAGGUAGAGAAAAUAUAAUAAACCUCUUUGUAUCUUCCAUCUAGCAUGAAAAAUAUACACUGAAAAUGUUCUGUUUAUCUUUCCUCAUUCCCCUUUUCCUCAUCUCAAGUGAAACCACUGUCUUGAACUUGGCAUUUGUCAUUUUUCAUCCUUAUUUCACUACUUAUGUAUGCAUCCAUACACCACAUCUUUGACCUUUACAUAAAUGGUAUUAUAUUGUAUAUUCCUUCCUGCAACUUGGGCUUUUGUUUAUUCCCUUUUUCUUGAGCUAAAUAUUAUCUUUAUGAAAU